rnacentral:rRNA from 1 species
AUUGAACGCUGGCGGCAGGCCUAACACAUGCAAGUCGAACGGUAACAGGAAGAAGCUUGCUUCUUUGCUGACGAGUGGCGGACGGGUGAGUAAUGUCUGGGAAACUGCCUGAUGGAGGGGGAUAACUACUGGAAACGGUAGCUAAUACCGCAUAACGUCGCAAGACCAAAGAGGGGGACCUUCGGGCCUCUUGCCAUCGGAUGUUCCCAGAUGGGAUUAGCUAGUAGGUGGGGUAACGGCUCACCUAGGCGACGAUCCCUAGCUGGUCUGAGAGGAUGACCAGCCACACUGGAACUGAGACACGGUCCAGACUCCUACGGGAGGCAGCAGUGGGGAAUAUUGCACAAUGGGCGCAAGCCUGAUGCAGCCAUGCCGCGUGUAUGAAGAAGGCCUUCGGGUUGUAAAGUACUUUCAGCGGGGAGGAAGGGAGUAAAGUUAAUACCUUUGCUCAUUGACGUUACCCGCAGAAGAAGCACCGGCUAACUCCGUG